rnacentral:rRNA from 1 species
UUUUUAGAGUUUGAUUCCCUGCUCAGGACGAACGCUGGCGGCGUGCCUAAUACAUGCAAGUCGAACGCUUCUUUCCUCCCGAGUGCUUGCACUCAAUUGGAAAGAGGAGUGGCGGACGGGUGAGUAACACGUGGGUAACCUACCCAUCAGAGGGGGAUAACACUUGGAAACAGGUGCUAAUACCGCAUAACAGUUUAUGCCGCAUGGCAUAAGAGUGAAAGGCGCUUUCGGGUGUCGCUGAUGGAUGGACCCGCGGUGCAUUAGCUAGUUGGUGAGGUAACGGCUCACCAAGGCCACGAUGCAUAGCCGACCUGAGAGGGUGAUCGGCCACACUGGGACUGAGACACGGCCCAGACUCCUACGGGAGGCAGCAGUAGGGAAUCUUCGGCAAUGGACGAAAGUCUGACCGAGCAACGCCGCGUGAGUGAAGAAGGUUUUCGGAUCGUAAAACUCUGUUGUUAGAGAAGAACAAGGACGUUAGUAACUGAACGUCCCCUGACGGUAUCUAACCAGAAAGCCACGGCUAACUACGUGCCAGCAGCCGCGGUAAUACGUAGGUGGCAAGCGUUGUCCGGAUUUAUUGGGCGUAAAGCGAGCGCAGGCGGUUUCUUAAGUCUGAUGUGAAAGCCCCCGGCUCAACCGGGGAGGGUCAUUGGAAACUGGGAGACUUGAGUGCAGAAGAGGAGAGG